AACAAACGCUGGCGGCGUGCCUAAUACAUGCAAGUCGAACGGGGAAAGCUUUCGGGUGAGUACUAGUGGCGCACGGGUGAGUAACGCGUGGAUAAUCUGCCUUCGAGUCGGGGAUAACUAGUCGAAAGAUUAGCUAAUACCGGAUAAGACCACAGGAACUGAGGUUCUAGGGGUUAAAGGUUUUUCGCUUGAAGAUGAGUCCGCGUGAGAUUAGCUAGUUGGUGAGGUAACGGCUCACCAAGGCAACGAUCUCUAACUGGUCUGAGAGGAUGAUCAGUCACACUGGAACUGAGACACGGUCCAGACUCCUACGGGAGGCAGCAGUAGGGAAUAUUGCACAAUGGAGGAAACUCUGAUGCAGCGACGCCGCGUGAGUGAUGAAGGCCUUCGGUCGUAAAGCUCUGUCGCAGGGGAAUAACACAAUGAAGGUACCCUAGCAAG
rnacentral:rRNA from 1 species